rnacentral:rRNA from 1 species
AUUGAACGCUGGCGGAAUGCUUUACACAUGCAAGUCGAACGGCAGCAUAGGUGCUUGCACCUGAUGGCGAGUGGCGAACGGGUGAGUAAUACAUCGGAACGUGCCCAGUCGUGGGGGAUAACGUAGCGAAAGUUACGCUAAUACCGCAUACGAUCUAAGGAUGAAAGCGGGGGACCGUAAGGCCUCGCGCGAUUGGAGCGGCCGAUGUCAGAUUAGGUAGUUGGUGAGGUAAGGGCUCACCAAGCCGACGAUCUGUAGCUGGUCUGAGAGGACGACCAGCCACACUGGGACUGAGACACGGCCCAGACUCCGACGGGAGGCAGCAGUGGGGAAUUUUGGACAAUGGACGCAAGUCUGAUUCAGCCAUUCCGCGUGCAGGACGAAGGCCUUCGGGUUGUAAACUGCUUUUGUACGGAACGAAAAAGCUCUUACUAAUACUAGGAGUCCAUGACGGUACCGUAAGAAUAAGCACCGGCUAACUACGUGCCAGCAGCCGCCGUAA